rnacentral:lncRNA from 1 species
UUUUUUUUGAAGUUAUUGUUUUUUCUUAGUGGGCCUUGUUGGCCCUGUGUUCGUGGAGUGAAGACGCAUUGGGCCCAAGUCGACCUGUGAGCACGGCUGGUUCCCGAUGCGCUGUGUAUGCGGCCUAAUGUUUAGUCCCACCUCACCCGCAGAAGGCGCGCCUGACCUGUUUAUAAGCGCUGGCGAGGCAGUCGUACCGAACUCCUCUGGUUACUUAUUUGGGCGCUUAAGCACGGCGCUCGCUGCUCUAUUCUCUCUGACCUGUGGGCCCAUGUGCGCCCGGCCCCAUGCAUUGUGGCUCAGAACGGCUUGCCUACGAUGGGCGCUGACCUACUACGAGACUGGCUGCGGCCGGAUGCACCUGUGGUGGUCAAUUAUUUUUCUUUGUAUUUUCUAUCUUAAGUAUUUUUUCAAUGUAGGGGCGUGCACUGCUUAGCAAAUCAUUCAUGCACUGCAUUGAUCAGGGUUAUGUACUGCAUGUGCACGCAUUCCGUACUACACAUGUUUGCGCUACAUUUUUGUGCACUGCAUUGGUAGCAUUUAUCUUUAUUGUUUUUCCCUCUUACGUAGCAUUUUUCUAGUGUACGGGUGUGCACUGCUUUGUUGCCUCUAUGUGCACUGCAUUCGUCAUGGUCCUGUGCUGCAGGUGUACACAUUUUGCACUGCGUGCAUGCUUCUUUGUGCUAAAGUUGUGACUGGUUAUGCCAACGCUGUGGACUGCAUGGCUUACAGUUAAGGACUACAUCAUGUGCACUAAUUAUGCUUUUGUGCACUGCACGAAAGUGCUUUUCUUUGUGCUUCAUUUUGAGCAUGUACUGCACUUCAUGCACACAUAUAGUGAACUUCCUGAUAAGACUUUGGAGAACUGCACACAUAAAAUGGUAUGUGGAUUAUAUUCAGGUAAUUAUUAUUUAAUUAUUUGCGGUUAGUUCGUGGGAAUUUCUACAGUCAAAGUCUUUGUAGAACUUCCUGGUAGACUUUUUUCUUUGGUAACAUAAACCUUUAUUGAUUGUCCUUCAUUCUUGAUAACGUAAUUUUCAUUAACUCCCCUUUAAUUUUCAGUUUUGACCUUUUUGCAUUCCUCUCCUAUAAAUGUAGGCCAACUUCUACCCUUCCUUUGCAGUUCAUUUCUCCUCUAGCCGCAACUUCUCUCCUUUCUCUAGCCUCUCUUUAUUUUUUUCCUUUUCUAGGUUUUUGUUGCGAUAGCUCCAGGCCCCUGCGCGAAUCUCUCCUGUUGCGGCCAUGGUUGUGGUGUGCCGAUGCACUAUGAUUGCUCAGCUUGUUCACAGGCCCGUCGUGCUCGUCGUGGGGGGAAGGUAUUGUACCGAGCUAGGCGAGCGGAGCAGCUUGCAUAUGACAUAGUAUUCACAGAAGGAUUGGAUAUGGGCCACAUCAACGUUUUUGCGUUCUAUUCCGCCCUGCUUCGUCGUGGCCUUGGCCGCACAAGUCCUUUUUUCCAUCAGCUUACACCAACAGGUGUUGAGACUCACUACAAGAUGGUAUUUUCGCUUGAUCUGAUUUUUUUGUGUUUUCUAUUUUUUUGUAUAAUUCCAUACUAGUCUGAACUUCUAGUUUUUUAGGAAUGCACUUAUUUUGUUUUAUUGAAGUGUAUUGCACUUUGUACUUAUAUCUUGUUUUUAUUUUUUUGCUUGUGUGCAUGGAGCUCGUGUUUUAUUUUGCAUGGUUACAAUAUGUGAAUUGCUUAGAUACUAGAUGAGAAGUAAUAGUUUCCACAAUUUUCCCCGCUUGUACGUUUUGUACUACAUGCAGGUAGUCUUAAGAACUUCAUAAUAGUUGUAAGCGUACUUCUUGUUUGCAAGUUCCGCACUACACAUUAGAUUGCGUUUAAUCUAUACUGAUUUUUUGCAGAAAAUUCCCCAAUGAGCUGUUAGGUAUCUCCGGCUCAAGAGGAAGGGAAUUCUCCAAGUUGUUCUUAGUAAUGGACACCUUAAACCAGCCAAGUACCGUGCAGGCGUUGACGGGUGGUUGUGUCUGCAGAAAGGGUGGAAGGAAUUUGUCAUUGAUAGUGGCCUGAAGUCUGAGCAAGUUGUUGUCCUCAACUUCUUUAAACUCGAGGAUCGUAUGGUUAGAAUCACGUUUGACGUGAUUGGUUAAGGUUAUGAGGUUGAUUUGUAAUAAGUACUUUUGCGUGUCGAACGCUUCACCUUUUUUAUGUGUUUUGUAAUAAGCACGUUUGUGAUCUGAACCGCUUCAAUUAUUAUUCCGAACUUCAUGCUGCCAGUGAGCUAACUGCAUUUUUUACAUCUUUUUGGAUUAAUAUGUGUCAAAGUUUUACUCUAGACUGCUAUAUAUGUGGUAUACUAUAUACACCAUUUGUCUUUAGAUGGGUUAGUUGAAUAACUCAUAGUCAGUGGGAAAUUUGUGUUUACACGAAAUUUAAACUGAUACAUAAGUCAUACAGAUAAGCAAACUGCUAUGCAUAUGAUUAAUUUAUUGAAGUUCAUCUAUUUGGUCGUUAACCUGCUGCUUCUCCGCGGUGACUGGAGUGUGUCUAAUGUCGCACUUUCUUUUGUUUUCCGUGGCGGUGUUGCUGGUUCUUGUCUCUACACCGUUGUGUUUGUAGUCCCUCGCGUGCUGGUUGAUGGUGGCUUUUGUUUUUGAGUGUUGUGAACUGCAUCCUUCUUUGCUCCCCGCGUGCUUGUUGAUGGCUGCUUUCGUUUUCCAGUGAUGUGAACUGCAUCCUCCUUUGCUCCCCGCGUGCUUGUUGAUGGAUGCUUUCAUUUUCUAGUGUUGUGAACUGCAUCCUUCUUUGCUCCCCGCGUGCUGGUUGAUGGCUACUUUUGUUUUUGAGUGCUAUGAACUGCAUCCUUUCGUGCUCCUACCUUGUUUUUUGAAAGUGGUGUUGUUCACGGUUGUUUCUGUACAGCAGCAUUCCCUUGUGGUGGUCUUGUUGGCAUUGUUUCUUCAUGUUCUUCGUCCUCUUCACUCUCUUCUUCCUCCUCUUCUUGCUCUUCCUCAUCAUCAUUGUCUGUUUCUUCAUAAGCCAUUGCUUCUUCAGUUUCUUCAUGUUCUUCGUCCUCUUCACUCUCUUCUUCCUCCUCUUCUUCAUCUGCUUCUUCAUAAGCCAUUUCUUCUUCAGUUGUGUCACCAUCUUCUUCUUUGAUUUCAUCUUCCUCGUCUUCCUCAUUUUCUGAUCUUGUUCUUUUGGGGCGGGUUCUUGAAUUGUGCCUCUUCCUCUUUUUGCAGAUGCUACAAUGUCUCGGUUUCGUCCAUUUCUUAGUGUUGUGAGUGGAAUUUCUGUUUGGUUGUGCAUCGCCAUGUCCUCAUUUUUCUUGUUCAUGUCUUUUUGUACAUAUCCUGGAAUUGUGGCCUCUGAUUUCAUUACAUGUCUUGCACCUUCUUAUUCCCGAUGGGUGACCAUCACUGUCCAGCUCAGGUUGUGGCUUACUGUUUUUGUCAUCAUUUUUCUCCUUACAUGCAACCUUUUUCUGGGUUGCGUCACCCCCUUUUCUUCCUUCCUCUUGUGUUUGAAACAGGAGGUGGAAGAAUUGUUUCUUUUUUGAUAGCACCAGUUCUGCUGUGUUCGGUAUUUUCUACCUGCUCGGCAUUAUUGUCAUGAUGGGAUUUCUCUGUUUGCUUUAGUUUUGCUGCUUCUUCUUCUUCUUCAUUGAGCACAUCUACUUCCUAGAUCAGUGCCCUCAUACCAGACAACACUCUGUGGCACCCAGCAUCGGACCUUGUCGCUCUGUUUGCAAGGUCCAUUGUUGUUUCUGUCAGCAAUUUUCUAUGGCAAAAAAGCAAUGUUCCAUCUGGUGUUGUUUGUUCAUAGUCUCUUUUGUCAAACGUCGCAUUUGAUCUUGCGUUACGGGUGUAUCUUUUCAUGAUGUACACCUCAAGAAUCUUGAGUACUCUGAAAUGAGAAAGCAUGCAUAACACAUGGACUCAAAAGAGCCCUGCAGACAACACAUGGUUUCUUUGUUUUGUAAGUGAACUGCAUGAAAUUAAUAAACACAUAUUUUUUCGUUAUUUGUUCAUUUUAAAGAACUGAACUUCAUUUGGUUUUGUGAAUUAGUCAUGCAUGUGGACUUUUAAAGUCCAGUAAGUGAGCUUUCGUACAUGACUAUCAGAAACUAGAUUUUUUGUGAUAGGAGUCUCACCUGUGUGUGUCCAGAGUUUGCAUUCACAUUCGUAGACACCUUUCUGUUCAUCGGUGACCACUUGGAAAUUAUGCCUUGCCCAGUCAAAUGCAUCUGAUCUAUUGUAGUGGUGUACGAGAUACUUUGUCAGGUUCUCAGGGCACCGUUCUGCUCUAAAUGCGGUGCUACGGUAGAGUGUUUCUUUGAAAUCUGCAAACACUUCCCUUGUAUACACUUUUGAUAGCUGAACUUCGAACCCAAACUGGGUUGUUGUCUUUACCUCUGACUGCAUGAUCAGAAAUGCACUGUUACGAACCAGAUAAAUGAAAAAAUUGUUUGUUUUGUAGUUAUAUUUUUAGCAGUUUUUGAGUGACAUUUUGUUUACCUCAUUUGCUUGUCAGGUUCUCAGGGCACGGUUCUGCUCUGAAUGCGGUGCUACGGUAGAGUGUUUCUUUGAAAUCCGCAAACACUGCCCUUGUAUACACUUUUGAUAGCUGAACUUAAAAACCAAACUGGGUUGUUGUCUUUACCUCUGACUGCAUGAUCAGAAAUGCAUUGUUACAAACCAGAUAAAUGAAAAAAUUGUUUGUUUUUGUAGUUAUAUUUUUAGCAGUUUUUGAAUGACAUUUUGUUUACCUCAUUUGCUACUGUCUCUGCGUGCUCGACGGCCUUCCUGGUCUGAAUGCACUUGUCCACCUACUGAGCAAACAGAUGGAGAUCAUGCUUCUCUUUGACAAAGUUUUUCUUCAGUUUGCGGUUCAUGCUCUCGCUUCUCUGUGUGGAAGUCAUCCGAGCACAGAAAAUUUCCUUGUAGUAAGGCGAGAUCCACUCGUGCAUGUCUUCCCACAGCGAAUUGAUCACUUCAUCGUCUUGCAAGUUGUAUCUCUGAAUGAGGUCCUUCCAUGCUUGUUCAAAUUCUGAUGGCAUUAGUGGGUGUUUCAGCACCGCAUUGAGGUCAUCCUUAAGUUCCUCGUGCACCUUAUACAGCAAGGCGAGGUGGUCUUUGUGCUUCUUCAUGAUAUGCCAUCGACACAACUUAUGCAGAGUAUAUGGGAGGAUAGUUUUUAAUGCUGCCUUCAUCGAAGAACACUGGUCUGAGAAGGCACAAAUAGUGUUUUUUUAUUAAGUUGUUUGUGUGUGUGUAAGAUAGAUGGAAGAAAUAUAAGUGCACCAAACAAACAUAAGUAUGCAGGUGUUUGUUUUUUUACCUGUGAGCAUGUAGAUUGGAUGCUUGUUGUUCAUACACCUCAGAAAUGUUUUGAAACCCCACUUGGACGACGGUAUUGUUUCAUCUCGCACGAGUGCAACAGCAAAUAUGGUGCUCUGUAGAUGAUGGUUCACUCCCACGAAGACUCCCAGCGGCAUGUGGAAUUUGUUAGUUUUAUACGUCGUGUCAAAUGUAACGCAGUCUCCAAAAUCUUCAUACGAUCCUUUGCAACUUGUGUUGGCCCAAAAGACGUUUCUUACACGGUUAUCUGCAUCAACGUCAUAAUCAUAGAAGAACUCUGGGUUUAUCUUCUGCAUAUUCUCGAAGAAAUCCAGAAGUUUCUUGACGUCAUCUUGGGACUCUUCUCUGGCAAACUUUUGUUUCCUGCAUUUUCAAACGCAAUGCAAACUCAUCUCAUCAAACAGGAAAUAAUUACUGAUAGGAUGCUCAAGCGAUAUGGUUUGUGAUGUGCUUACUUGUUUACCCAGUCGCGGCUAGUAUGUCCCAUGUACUGCAGACCACCAGACAUACGCGACAGCAUUGACAUCAUCUGAGCGUGUGUGUGGUUGUCCAGUUGCAUGUCUUUCACUAACUGGUCUAUCAAAGGAUCGUCUUUUUUGUGCGAUCGCAUGUGCAAAAGCAUCCCAGGGCUUUCCAGCAUCUUGUGAUUGUGGUUGACUUCAACCAUUUCUAUCACAAAUUUGCCAUCCUUUCUCUUUUUAACUCUAAUCUUUGCCUUGCAGUCAAUCCUUUUUGAUGUUUUCUGACGUUUCCGGUGAUAAUCUGACACAGUCUGCUUGUGCGUCCCUUCUCUUGAGCAGACAAUGUAGGCAUUUGUCCUGUGUUUUGCCCUUUUGCGUAUGCCAAACCCUGCACAUCUUGCAUAAUUAUUGUAAAAGUCCCAUGGCUUGUCGUACGUGGUGAACUUCAUUCCAGCGGCAGGUAUGAGGUUCAGCGGCAUGUUUUUAUCCUGCAUUAAGUGCAAUGCUCUAUGAGAUAAUUUUUUCUGUUCUGUUUUUUAAAUACGAGGAGUGCAUACGAGUUGAAUAAAGCAUUGCAAUGUUCCUAAGUUUUCAGAAGAAUCCAAUGUAUUAGAUACUAGGUUAAACCUCACAAGAAAUAUCAGUGUGCACUGCAAUGUUAUCUGAAUGGACUGCAACUAUUAUUAUUAUUUUUCAGAACAUAAACUUACAUGUGCGUAGAGUCGUUCACCCGAUGGUGUUUGCAGCUCGCCGGGUUGUAUUGGACAUGGCAGGGUUAUAGCAGAUCUGUGUAGUUGAGGAUCUCGCGGCGGCAAUAGUGAGGAGGAUUUGUACCUACUAUUGACUUUUGACCGGGGCUCCGUUGGUGGUCGCAGUGUCGAAGUUGAUGCAGCAGCUCUGCUUGGAGCUCUGUUUUUCGGUGCAGCAGGUGGACGCUAAGCUCUGUUUUGGGGUGCAGCAGGUGGACGUGGUGGUAAUCCAGUGUUGUGACGAUAUCUCAGUGGAUUGGUUUGAAAAUUUUGGAGCGGUGGCACAUAAUCAUAGUCAUAAUCAUAUUCAUCAUCUGCUGCAACAUCGUGUUCAACUGCAUCAUCAUUGUCUGUUCGGACAUGCUGUCCAAACGUAGUGAACUCGUGCUUAUACUCUAGGUUGAGAACUAUUAUUGGCUCAUCUGCAUCGUCGUCAUCUUCAUCCUCCUAUCGCUGAGUGCCCUCCCAGAUGAAGGUGACAUCGUCAUCAUCCUCGACUACCUCUUCUCCCUGGAAAAAAAUCCUCUUUCGGAGAGUAGUGCACCAUGUUUGUUGUCAUGAAGAAUCAUCGAGGAAUCUCAGGGGUAACCCAACCAGUAUCUCUUUCAGAAGAAGCUUUACUCUUCUGAAAGUUGUUGUUCCCUGGGUUGUCAAUUAUGUGCGGCAUUUUGUAUCUGCUGAACGUCAUUUCCUGCACACAAAAUGACCGAGCUGCAUUGUCAGGCAAAAUGAACGGAAUCAUGCGAACUGCAAUGUGUUACAAAUGGUACUGCGAAACUAAUGCAUGCUUGUCAGGCAAAAUGAACGGAAUCAUGCGAACUGCAAUGUGUUACAAAUGGUACUGCGAAACUAAUGCAUGCUGACUGCAUCACCCUGCAAUGUGAACUGAAGUAACCGCACUGCAUCGUUGUCCGUAAUGAACCUACACAAGCGUACUACAUAACCGAGCAAGUUCACUACAUUUUCCCCCACAACGAACUGAAGCAACCGCACUGCAUCAUUUUUGUAGGCGUACUGGACUGCAUGUACUGCUUUGUCUGGAAUAAAAAAACUGAUAUGGUUGAGGAAGUGUACUGCUUACCUCGUGUUGCAGUGAUUUCUUGCGUUUGCAGGAGGAAGUUCUCUUCUCGUCCGUCUGCACAACUUUCGCGUUCGCCCGUGCAGUCCACUUGCCCUUCAGAAGUUCACAAGCGGUCUGGACGUUGCUCAAGGUGAACGGAGAUGGAGGAUUUGCUCUGAAGGUCGUUGCAGACUUAAUCCAAGAAGCUGUCGUGGAUGAAGGAACCUUGCGCACAGUUCUCCUUGCUCGAAUUGGUUUGAUGUCGAGGCAGCACCAAUCCACAUCUGAUGAAGUACAGCUGAUUGCAGGCCCGGAGGAGUUCGGCGGCGGCGCUACCGAGCUACUGUCGUGGAAGAAGGCCCAUAUGCUGGUGGGGGCAGCGUUGCUCGGUUGCUGCCGCGGAAGAAGGCCGAGAGGCGAUGGGCGGUGGCGCUGCUUGGCCGCUACCGUGGAAGAAGGCCUGGAGGGGAGGGACGGCGUCGCUGCCGGCCGCUGCUGCGGAAGAAGGCCGGGAGGGGAGGGGCGGUGGCGCUCCCAGGCCGCCGCCGCGGGAGAAAGCGGGGAGGGGAGGGGCGGCAUCGCUGCCAGGCCGCCGCCGCGGAAGAAGGUCGGGAGGGGAGGGGCGACGACGCUUCCAGGAUGCUGCCGCGGAAGAAGGCCGGGAGGGGAGGGCGACGGCGCUUCCAGGCCGCUGCCGCGGAAGAAGGCCGGGAGGGGAGGGGCGGCGGCGCUCCCAAGCCGCUGCCGCGGUAGAAGCUCGGGAGGGGAGGGGCAGCGGCGAUCUGGUGGGGGAUGUGCAGAAUAAGGCUGGUGUUAUUAGAAUAUGACUCUUAAGGGGUGUUAUCAUAUAUAUGGGGAGGGGGCGCCUAGAACACACAACAUCAAUUGUUAGCCGUGUGUGGCGCCCCCUCCACAGUUUACACCCCCGGUCAUAUUCUCACGGUGCUUAGGCAAAGCCCUACACGGAUCACUUCACCAACACUAUCACCACGCCGCCAUGCUGACGGAACUCAUCUACAACCUCGAAACCUUGCUAGAUCAAGAAGGCGAGGGACGUCACCGAGCUGAAUGUGUGCAGAACUCAGAGGUGUCGUACGUUCGGUGCUUGAUCGGUCGGAGCUAGAAGAAGUUCGACUACGUCAACCGCAUUGUCAAACGCUUCCGCUUUUGGUCUACAAGGGUACAUAGACACACUCUCCCCCUCGUUGCUAUGCAUAUCCAUGGAUAGAUCAUUGAGUGUGCGUAGAAUUUUUUUUGUUUUUCCAUGCAACGUUUCCCAACAUAUAAAGGCGAGAGCCUGCGGCGGGUUAGGGCAAGAAACAAUUGAUCAAGAGCUAGGUCACGCGAUUUCGCACCCUUGUAAUUGAUACUCAAGCAAUACAACUCAAAGCAGGACGUAGGCUUCUACCUCGUUGUGAGGGGACGAACCUGGGUAAACUUGAGUCUUUCGUCCUGAUCAACCCCUUCGAGCUAACCUACGUUGCGAUGGCUCCACGCUUAAGUCCUUUCACUAGGACAUCUGCCGUGACAAAACCACGACAAGUAGCAUGACUAACAACGUCAAUGAGGUAGCAACCGCCAUUACAGAGAGCAAGUCAGUCUACAUUACCUUGACCUAUACAACAUCGUCAUGGAGGAAGGUGGCUUCAGUCCGGAGGCUCCGAUUGCUGCACUUAGCCACCUGUUGGACAACAAGGCACAUGGUGUUGUGUUCGUUGCCAUGGUAGACGCCCAUAGCGUGCUUUGGCUUAGGAUCUGGUUGGGCAAGCACUACUACUGGUGUUGCUUCUGGUGGUGGUGGUGGCGGUGGUGACAACGUGCAUGAUGAUCGACGAUGAUGAUGGUGACGGUGUACAUUUUGUGGUAGCUCGGGCUUAAAACUUGUUGUAUAUUUUGAUGAGGUGUUAUAUACUAACCCCUCACGCUGAUUGGCGAACUCGAUGGUAGGAUUACACCCUCUUUUUGGAUAUGGUGGUAGGAUGACACCACAGAAGCUAUGGUAAACUUGCCCUGCCUUUUGCCUUUUGGAUAUAUGAUCAUGCAUGCCUAAGUUUUCUUUGUUCCAUGUGUACUGUGUUUCUUUGCUCACUGCUUCAAUUGUUGCUCUUCUGUCAUACUCUCUUCGUCCGGAAUUAUUUGUCGUGGAAAUGAAUAAAAAUGGAUGUAUCUAGAACUAAAAUACAUCUAGAUAUAUCCAUUUCUCCGACAAGUAUUUUCGGACGGAGGGAGUAUAUGCUAGGCGAAGCGGUAUGUGGUAUACAGAGGGAGGGUUUCAGAGUGACUCGUUAUACAGAGAUGAUGCUUACUCCAAGUUUCUACUCAAGCAAAAGAGCAAUAUUGAGGUAGGCAAGCCUUCUAGACAGUUUGGGUCGUGUGGGACGAAAACUUCAUCAUCCUCCAGUUCGUCAUAAUUGUAGUGUUGUUUUAUUGGCAUGAUCGUAUGUAAGGUGAUAAUAAGCUCACUACAUAGGGUACAAAGUAAGCGGUCCUAACCGAGUAUAUGCAACUAAAUACUACCAUGUAGUGUAUGAGCACAACCGUGAACAGGCAACCAAACACGCAGACAGUAAGGCAACCAAACACGCAGACAGUAAGGCAACCAAACCAUAUGCAGAACAUGAUUUUCAGCCUACAUCCGCUCAGCUGACCCAGAUGAGAUACAUAUGCAAGGGGGGAAACGAUGCAAGCUAUCAAAUACACCCUACAUGUUUUAACUGUGGUCAACAAAACCUCUGAUGUAGGGUGAGCGAAGUUGGAUGUGGUUCAUACGAGGAGACUGAUGGCACAGCCGGUAGUACAAGAAUGACACUUGUGCAAUCAUGUUCCCUGCUUACCGUAAGUUGCAAUUCCAGGCAGAGCUGGAAGCGUGCAGAGAAGGGCUUGCGCUGGCGCUCCGUGUGACGGCUCAUCCGAUGGCUACGGAAUCAGAUUGUGCAGAGGCACCUCCACAUGUCAGCGGACGUCAAUUUAACCAUGUUGCUCAUAUUUACGCACAAGUGCAUUUCAAUGCAAGCUUGAUGAAAUGUACUGCCUCUGUAAAUAAACAGUAUAAGACGUUUUAGAUCACUGUCUUGCAUUUAUUGACAGAGGGAGUACAUACAAGUUGAGCCCCUUCAUUGUCCCAUAUAUAGAUUAACUUGUCUAACAUCAUCAAGACAUGGCCAUACUCCGUGGUCUCAACCACAAUGCAAGCUAAGUUUUGCAAGAAUAGCUGCAAAGGGCACCAACAUGUUGCAACAACAAUACCAGAUCAAAUUAAAUUGGGGGCGCCAACAGUAAGCCGGUAACAGGGCUGUUUCUAACACACAAGUCCAACGAUGUAGUCAUGUAGCUGUAAAAGGGACGUUUCUAACACAGAAGUCUAUUGACGUUACUGAUGAAGAUCAGAACUAUGCUAAAGAGGGACUAUUAUGCACAUAGCAAUCAUUUCUCAAUCCAUCAAAAGUAGACAUACACUUCCGGUGGAGGCCAGCUAUAGGAAUUUCUUCAUCCUUCGUGUGUAAGUAACCUGCGGUUAAGGGGGCCGACAUCUCCAGAUUUGUCAC